ACAUAGAAAGCGAGAAAGUUUGCAUAUGGUUUCGGCCCAUACCUUGGGGGUGUGAGUCCCUUUCUGUGUU
rnacentral:tRNA from 1 species